GCUUAACGCGAAGAACCUUACCAAGGCUUGACAUGCAUCUCUAAGCGCGUGAAAGCGCGUGACCCUUCGGGGAAUUUGCACAGGUGCUGCAUGGCCGUCGUCAGCUCGUGUCGUGAGAUGUUGGGUUAAGUCCCGCAACGAGCGCAACCCCUGUGAUUAGUUGCCAGCGGAUAAUGCCGGGGACUCUAGUCAGACUGCCCAGAUCAACUGGGAGGAAGGUGGGGACGACGUCAGGUCAGUAUGGCCCUUACGCCUUGGGCUGCACACGUACUACAAUGCCCAGUACAAUGAGAACCGAGACCGCGAGGUGGAGGAAAUCUGCAAAACUGGGCCCAGUUCGGAUUGGAGUCUGCAACUCGACUCUAUGAAGCUGGAAUCGCUAGUAAUGGCGUAUCAGCUACGACGCCGUGAAUACGUUCCCGGGUCUUGUACACACCG
rnacentral:rRNA from 1 species